GUCUGCCAGGGUCUCCGACUGUCCCAGACGGGCUGGUGUGGGCUUGGGAUCCUCCUGGUGACCUCUCCCGCUAAGGUCCCUCAGCCACUCUGCCCCAAGAUGGGCCGUGGGGCUGGCCGUGAGUACUCACCUGCCGCCACCACAGCAGAGAAUGGGGGCGGCAAGAAGAAACAGAAGGAGAAGGAACUGGAUGAGCUGAAGAAGGAGGUGGCAAUGGUGAGGGAACUGCUGGGCCAUGGAGGAGGGGCCCCAUGCUGGGAGAGCUGUCCCUGCAGCCCAUUGCAUUCAGAGAAACUCCGUGUCCCCCAUGCUGCUCAACUCACCCCUGUGCCCUGCAGUACCCUCAUAUGCAUCUUAGAUACCUCCUCCCCAAAGUAACUCACCCUCCCUUCCCCAGGAUGACCACAAGCUGUCCUUGGAUGAGCUGGGCCGCAAAUACCAAGUGGACCUGUCCAAGGUAAGUGGAGGGGCUUCUAGGGCA
rnacentral:sRNA from 1 species